UACGGGGGGGGGCAAGCGUUGUUCGGAAUUACUGGGCGUAAAGCGCGCGUAGGCGGCUCUUCAAGUCGAGUGUGAAAGCUCCAGGCUUAACCUGGGAAUUGCGCUCGAUACUGUUGAGCUAGAGUGUGGAAGGGGGCUACUGGAAUUCCGUGUGUAGCGGUGAAAUGCGUAGAUAUGUGGAGGAAUACCGGUGGCGAAGGCGGCCUCCUGGUUCAAUACUGACGCUGAGGUGCGAAAGCGUGGGGAGCAAACAGG
rnacentral:rRNA from 1 species